CCUACGGGUGGCAGCAGUGGGGGAUAUUGCACAAUGGGGGAAACCCUGAUGCAGCGACGCCGCGUGGGCGAAGAAGUAUUUCGGGAGGUAAAGCCCUAUCAGCAGGGAAGAAGAAAGGACGGUACCUGAGUAAGAAGCACCGGCUAAAGACGUGCCAGCAGCCGCGGUAAUACGGAUGGUGCAAGCGUUAUCCGGAUUUACUGGGUGUAAAGGGAGCGCAGGCGGCACGGCAAGCCUGAUGGGAAAGCCCGCGGCCCAACCGCGGGACUGCAUUGGGAACUACCGGGCUGGAGUGCCGGAGAGGUCGGCGGUCUUCCUUGUGUAGCGGUGACAUGCGUCGUUAUUAGGAGGACCACCAGUGGCGCAGGCGGCCUCCUGGACGGUGACUGCCGCUGAGGCUCGAAAGCGUGGGGAGCCAACAGGCUUAGCUACCCGUGUAGUC
rnacentral:rRNA from 1 species